AUCCUAUUGUAUGCAUAAUCCAAUCAACGAAAAAGGGAAGGAGAUCUGCUAUCAAAGUUACCAACAUGCACAAUUCUUCGGGUAACAUACACUCCUCCUCUCUGUAUAUUUUAUAAAAUGAAAUAAUAAUAAAGAAAAUAUAUUUCUUUGCAUUCGCAUUGUCAUCUUAUCUUUCGUG
rnacentral:ribozyme from 1 species